AAGGUUGGGGUCUGUGGUUGAAAGCCGAUGCCAGUCGCAGGCGAAACGGUCCACGUAAGCUGGGGAAAUUCUCAGUGAGCACGGUGCGGUUUAGACGUAAGCCCGGCCGGACGAAAAGUUCGAGAGAGCGGCGUGGGGGCCAUGAUGGCUAUGAGCAAUGCUCCUGCCGGCGAAUGUGGGGUCAAAAACCAGGUCAGCCAAAUCUU
rnacentral:ncRNA from 1 species